GUCAAGUCAUUUUCAACACCAACUCGCGCCGAGAACGGUACCAUGUUAUUCUGUCGAUUAGAGAUAAAAGACAUUUGUCUGGAAUCAUACGAUUUUAUCAGAUCCAAUGGCAUGAUAUUCCAUAUGAUGUCCGCAAUAGAUAUCGAAAAAGCGCAAAAUACGGAAACCGCCGUUUGUUCUGCACUACCAAUACAACGGACUCGCAUUCGGCAAAUGAGGAGCGGAGAUUUCGGCAGCUGUGGAUUCCGAUAAUGGACAGUGGAUGUGUUCAAUGGAGGCGGCUGACGCUGGCGAGAUAAGCGCGGUUGCAUUGGUCACAGUAACAGAAACCUACCGGUGGCCGAACAGACGGAAAUAGCUGUCAGCCCUCGAAAUGAUCCUGUUCUGUCUUGCCACAUCCUUCCGCGUAUGCUGGACAGAACAGUUCAUUACUGCCGGUGGAUCCGCCCCGACGGAUAUGGAAUUUACAAUGACAUAAGCCAUCGAUAUACGACCAACAGCAGCUACUCCGAGUGCAGAUUAGUCAUCCUAGCAUUCUCUUCGUGCCGAGCAUAUUCCAGCAGACCUCUUCAGUCUCAACAACUCCGAGCAGCAAAAAAGAAGAGGAGGAACGUCGACUAACCGACUAAUCGUGUCUUACAGCCGCAGACGCACUUUUGAUCCACGCCGAGUUCACUUCCAUAAAUAUCGCAGACGGAACAGACUACACCAGCAGACGAGGAGCACAUGGCUCUAAGUCCGAGGGCCACCAUCAAAAAGACACGUCCUGGGCGGCGGACACCGUCGCCGACAUCUGGUUUCGCCAGUGUGACGAUAGCCUCAGCCCGAAAUCCACUUCCGGAACUUCAACAAACAACGAUACAACAUGGGACA
rnacentral:lncRNA from 1 species